rfam:Ectocarpus siliculosus strain Ec 32, whole genome shotgun sequence assembly, chromosome LG07
ACCCCGGAGUUUCUCAACUCCCCCAACAUUUCAAAAAAAUAAAAA